UACAGAGGCCACGAGCGUUAGGCGGAAUCACUGGGCUUAAAGCGUGUGUAGGUGGAUCGGUAAGUACCUUGUAAAAUCCCACAGCUCAACUGUGGAACCGCUCGGUAUACUGCCAGUCUUGAGGCACUCAGGGGCGAGCGGAACAAGUGGUGGAGCGGUGAAAUGCGUAGAUAUCACUUGGAACGCCAAUGGUGAAGACAGCUCGCUGGGGGUGAACUGACACUGAGACACGAAAGCCAGGGGAGCGAACGGG
rnacentral:rRNA from 1 species